GGGGAUGCAGCACACAUAAGCGAGUGUGUCUGAAUCUUUUAGUCACCUAUUUAAUCCUAAUGCUUUAGUCUCUUUCGUUUCCUCAGCACGGCCCCGGAGAAAUUACGAGACCCGGUGCCCGUGCAGCCAUUUUUUGUUAUUGUUUAGAGAAGCGGUUAGCAUGCAGAGCAUGUCUUCAGCCAGAGAGCCUCGCAGAGCUGUGUCAAUGCUACCCCCUUGUGACCGGUUUGGUGCACGAGUGAUACCAUCCUCCAUCAGAAGGAAAGAGAGAAAGAAGAACAUACACAUGGGAGCAGUGGCCCAUUAUCUCAACCAUGUGAGACGCCCGCAGCGUGAGAGAGCAGCCCGAUCAGCUGGCUCCAGUGGCAGGUUUGCUGGGAAAGUUAUCAAUAAGCGAUUGUCUCUAGUCAUUUAGGCUGUCACGUUAUGACAGGGCUGAAAAUUAAGCUGGCAGAUAUUAAUAAUAAUGGAAAUAACACAAUGCCGAGGGGAAGAUAUUGGGUGAGUUUGGGAAGGGGGUUACGGAUAGUGCGAGUGGGUGGAUUUAUGUGUAUGUGUGCGAAUGUUUGUGUGUCCAUGAGUUUAGAUUGCUUUGUUAGCGUUUAAAUGGAAUGUUAAUUGACACACUAUUUGUGAUUGUUCCUGUCGUGUGUGAUAGAGAUUAUAUGCUGCAGUAUGUGAAAUUAAAAUCUAUCUGGAUUAUAUAAUAAGCCAAAAAAAAGAGAAAAGAAAUAAAUAACAAAAUGCUGGUUUUAUGAUCUUUAACCUCCAUAAUAGUUGUACAUAUAUAUACUGUAUAGUAGUUGUGUAUAAUGACAAAUUUUGUACUUUUGUAUCGUAAAAAAUGUCUUAAUGUUAUAGAGUUUGUGAUAGUGCUAUAUCAUAAAAAGAACAAAGUUCCUUUUGAGUUUAUUGGUGCACAUGCAUUCACUAAAUAUUUGUACCUCUGGCAAAUGUAGAACCUCUUUUGUAGUCAUUUUGUUUUCAUUCAACAUUUGUUUGUCUCUGUUUUGCUGAUAGAUUUAUUGCUACCAAAUGUUACCGCUGUUUGAUUCGGUAAUAGAAUUGCAGUUUGGCAGAGGUAUGAGAUACAAUAAAGUAAAGCUUUCAAUGACAAAUACCCUGGACUGGUUGCCAGUUUGAGGUAAUGGGGUCAUUUUCAUCCAAGACUUCUGAGGUGGCAAUCCUAAACAUAUGGUAAUUAAGCACAGUACAAACACAUUUUCUUUCCUCCUUUUAUACAUUGUUUAUUAUAUACUGUGUUAUACAUUUAAUGUUUAAUUGUAUAUACUGUUGUAAAAUGUGCUGUUCAUCAAAGAGUCCUGAAAAAAAAAAAAAAGUAUUAGUUUCCACAAAGAAAAUAAACUUUUACUGUUUUCAACAUUGAUAAUAUUAAUAAAUGUUUCUUGAGCACCAAAUCAGCAUAUUACAAUGAUUUCUGAAGGAAUGUGUGUCACGUGUAUGUUCAGUUUAGUUCAUUUUCAUUCAUGUGUACAUUAGUUCUCAUUAGUUGUUAUGGUGUCUCAUUAGUUAAUUUCUGUCCAACCGUACCUGUUCCUCAGUUGCUACAGUAUGUGUAUUUAUACUCCCUGUUCUGUUCAGUCCAUGUCAUUUAUUGUUUGUGUGAACAAUGUCUUACUCUUGUGUAUUUGCUAUUGGAUUAAAGACUUUUGUUGUUAUCACCAUCUCCUUCAUCAUGCACUUUCCUAGCUACCCUGAACUGCUAGAAAAUAACCGACCACUCAUGAAUGAGUAAAGAAAACAAACCAUGGACUCACCAGCGUUACGUCUCCUCCUCCCCAAGAACCGGAAGUUUUUGGUAUUUGGCCUGGAUGCUCCGAAAUGGAAGCCUCUCCCUCACAGCCAGCGAGCCCGAGGCACCCACGAAGCUCAUCCAGGAACCAGAGCCGAAUAACACCAAAGCCCCGGAGUCGACGCAUGUGGGUCAAUCCGUCUCAGAGCCAGGAGUGGACCUAGACCUGAUAGAUCUGUGGUCUGCAGAUCCAGUUCCCACCCAAUUCCCUACCCUCGGUCCCGUCAGGAAAUGAUCUUCAUCUGCUUUUAUCCCUGCCUGACUUCCUGGUCCCAUCUCCAUUGCUGGUCACGGCCAUGCCACUGGGUCCGUCGGCACCUCUGGUGUUGUCCAGCUCCUUGGCUCUGCUCCUGCCGGUUUCUCUGUGCAGCUCAUCUUCCUUGCCUCGGGCUUUCCCUCUACCAGCUUGGCAUAGGCCUCCAGGCCCAUGUCUCCACCCCUGUCGCCAUCGCCUCGGCCCACCGCUCCCUGGUCGCCUUCACGGCCCGUCUGCCUUGAGACUCUGCUGGGCUCCCUCGUCACUCCAGGUCGGCCUCCGGUGGUCGAAGCCCAGCUUCCGCCACGGAGUUCGGGGAUUCCGGCUGUGCCUACAACCUGCACCCCUACGGCAUCAUCGGGCUCCGACCUCCCCGUCGUCUUCGCUCGCCCCAUCAUCACCCCGGUCAUCCAAGUCCCCAUAACCGCCUCAGUCCCGCGAGCCAGCAGCUCAGCCCCAGGCUUCCAGGACUUCAAUAUCACCCAGGUCCGUCAGCCUCUCCGCUCCGCCGGUUCCGUCUUCACCGAUCGUUCCCAGUGUUCCGUCCGUCCCCUCAGUUAGGACUCCGCCCUGGAUCCUCUCACCAUCAGCGCCACCAUGGUGCCUGUGGCCACCUAUGCCAGGCUUCUGUCCAUCACCAACUCCACGCCCUCCAGCUUCCACCCUCUUUUCUCCUCCUAAACUUUUUCUGUGAAAGUGCAAAAUCUGGAGGAGGGGCUUAUGUCACGUGUAUGUUCAGUUUAGUUCAUUUUCGGUCAUGUCUACAUUAGUUUUCAUUAGUUGCUAUAUGGUGUUUCAUUAGUUAAUCUCUGUCCAGCUGUGCCUGUUUAGUGUUCUCAGUUGCUAUGUGUAUUUAUACUCCCUGUUCUGUUCAGUCCGUGUCGGUUAUUGUUUGUAUGAACAAUGUCUUACUCUU